CCUACGGGAGGCAGCAGUGGGGGAUAUUGCACAAUGGGGGGAACCCUGAUGCAGCGACGCCGCGUGGGUGAAGAAGCGCCUCGGCGCGUAAAGCCCUGUCAGCAGGGAAGAAAAUGACGGUACCUGAAGAAGAAGCCCCGGCUAACUACGUGCCAGCAGCCGCGGUAAUACGUAGGGGGCAAGCGUUAACCGGAUAUACUGGGGGGAAAGGGGGCGCAGACGGCGAUGCAAGCCAGGAGGGAAAGCCCGGGGCCCAACCCCGGGACUGCUCUUGGUACUACGUGGCUGGAGUGCAGGAGGGGCAGGCGGAAUUCCUGGGGUAGCGGUGAAAUGCGUAGAUAUCAGGAGGAACACCGGUGGCGAAGGCGGCCUGCUGGACUGCAACUGACGUUGAGGCCCGAAAGCGUGGGGAGCAAACAGGAUUAGAUACCCGUGUAGUC
rnacentral:rRNA from 1 species